AAUACAUGCAAGUCGAACGAACUUCCGUUAAUUGAUUAUGACGUGCUUGCACUGAAUGAGAUUUUAACACGAAGUGAGUGGCGGACGGGUGAGUAACACGUGGGUAACCUGCCCAGAAGCAGGGGAUAACACCUGGAAACAGAUGCUAAUACCGUAUAACAGAGAAAACCGCCUGGUUUUCUUUUAAAAGAUGGCUCUGCUAUCACUUCUGGAUGGACCCGCGGCGCAUUAGCUAGUUGGUGAGGUAACGGCUCACCAAGGCGAUGAUGCGUAGCCGACCUGAGAGGGUAAUCGGCCACAUUGGGACUGAGACACGGCCCAGACUCCUACGGGAGGCAGCAGUAGGGAAUCUUCCACAAUGGACGCAAGUCUGAUGGAGCAACGCCGCGUGAGUGAAGAAGGGUUUCGGCUCGUAAAGCUCUGUUGUUAAAGAAGAACGUGGGUGAGAGUAACUGUUCACCCAGUGACGGUAUUUAACCAGAAAGCCACGGCUAACUACGUGCCAGCAGCCGCGGUAAUACGUAGGUGCAAGCGUAUCAGGAAUUUAUUGGGC
rnacentral:rRNA from 1 species